AGAGCGUUGCGCCUUGUGCCCUUGGCUGAGUUGUUGUUGUUUCAAUGUUUUUAUUAUUAGUAUUAUUACCAUGUGACAAUGUGUGCAGAGAUUAUUUCAGUGGAAAUUGUGUUACAAUACAAGUGACAUUUACGCAUGGGAUGUAAAUUGCAAUUUGCAUAAAACUUUGUUGCAGAUGAUGUCAACCUGCAAUGACACCCCGACAAUGGAAAAUAGUACUAUUGUUGGCGAACUAGCCGAGUUUGACAUCAAGGCUCCUAUCAGUGUCACGAUUAGUUUUGAUGACGAUCUCGAUGAACCUGUUGUAAAAAAACAAAUUGUGUCAGAUGAUUAUCAAGAAGAGGAAACUCAAGAAACCGUUAUAUCAACUUUUUUCCCCAUUUUGGAAACAAAACCUGAAAUCCAGGCAGAAACGCCUUCUCCUUGUUUAUCUAGUGAGAAACAGUGCAACGAUUUCAUCGUACAAAAUGUUCAAGACGCUCCUCAACCUGAUAACCUAUACGAUGGAUUAUUAAAUAGUAAUACAUCUAGAAAACGAAAAACAGAAAAUUUGGAAAUGUGCAAACCAAAGCAAUUCAAAAUUUUAGAUGACAAAUCCGAUGAUAAUAACUGUGACAAGGAAAAUUCACACACAACUCACACCAAAAGUGAUAAUAUUCAAUCUGAUCCCAACAUAACUAUCCGUGAACCCGAAAAACAUAGCACUGUUGCGACCACCCUAGUAGGGUCCAGUCUGAGCAAUAAAAAGGCUACCGAUAAACAAUUCGAUUUAUCUUCAUACAUAAACGAAAUCUGUCCAAGUGAAAAGGAAAAAAUAAGAUUGUUUAUAACGGGGUGCUUAGAUUCGUUGUCUGAUAACAUGAUAUGUAUCAUGCAAGCCUUUGUCACCUAUAGACAACAACACAUUUCUAAAGAAGAGUUUAAGAAAAAGAAACAACAAUAUUUUAAUUCCGCUUACAAAAUGUUGGUAAAAGUAAUGUUACCGGAAGAAAAGAACAAAGAUUUUAUACACACUUUCCUAAAUAACACGCUACAACGUGGGCGUAAAAAGUGUGGUCCUUAUUUUAUGCCUACGUACCAAGAUUAUGCGAAUCUCUUUCACGAAAUGCUUAUGUGGGCUAAGAUGAGCCAGCAACCAAUUCGAUCCGCAAUCAAAAGUGUUGCUUCAGUCGGAUCAGAAUUUAACAAAAAUCCAGCACAAGAUAAAUUACAGUCUACCAACACACAUAAAAAUACUGCAGCGGAAAAAGUUUGCAUAUUUUCAUCAGGUCCGCCCGAAAGAGCAUUAAGUAUUAACAUUGAUCCAACUUUUCAAAAAUAUUUGCACAAUACUUCCCAAUAUGGCAGUAACGAGACAAAUACUGAAAGUAAUAACACCACCCAGUUACAGACGGCCGUAGCGUGCCUAACUAGAUUUGUAGCCAAUAGCAGCCAAUCUUCAACUAUCCCUUCCCAACCCAAUCCUCGUCCACCGGUUAUCCAACCAACGGCAUCGGUAAGCUGUAACCGACCAACUGCUCAACAGGAACAACAUCCCGCGGUUUCAUCAAACAGCCAUCAGGGUCACACCACGAGUAACAUAUCAAAUUAUAGCAUUUUAACCCAUCAAAAGACUGCGACACCCCUUCUACAAAAGCAAUUAGAAAAGCCACCAUUGCUUGGAUAUUUACAACAAGUAGAUCAUCAACCACCUUCAUAUGAUUCUCAUUUUCAAACACAUUUAAAACAGGUGCAGCAAGCAAAGCUACCUUAUGAUCAGUCUCAGCGCUUGCGUGCACAAUCCAUUCAACAACAGCAAUUGCCGUCACAAUAUAAUCCAGCGCAGUAUCAACAAUCUCAAUAUUUACAAUCUCAGUCGGGAAUUGAGUACAAUCAAACGUGGCAAUUAGGCCAAUCGCCUUUACCAACGUCAGCAUAUAACCAAUCACGACAAGCCCAAGUGGGACUAUUGCAGCAGGACCAAUAUCAACAGCAACAACAACAUCCAGCUGAUAGUUGGCCAACCAUGGAAGAGCUCCUUUCAAUGGAUUCAACGCAACAGCUCCCGUAUCAGUCAAGUACUGAGCAAGUAAACUCAUUUGGACAAUGGCAAUCAAGACAACAAGCCCAACCACCACAAGCGUCUACAACAGAGUGGCACCAACAGGGGCAGGUUUACCAAGGACAGGUUCCUUCACAGACUCAGAAAGGGUCUCCCCGCUCCGCUUCCACCGAUAGCGGAUUUAUAAGUCCAUUGAAUUUCAACGUGCCUACGGACCAAACCAGACAAGAUUCAAUGAUGCCGACAGUAUCUCAUGAACCCGACACCUCCAUGCCGAUGAUAGUACACGUCACGUCCCUCAGUGAGAAAGCCGCCUUCCUAGAUAUGGGCACAUGCGUGGUGUGCAAGAAGAGCGCCAAGCAAAUGUGCAUGGGUUGCAUGAAGGUUUACUACUGUAAUUAUGAAUGUCAGACUCUCAACUGGACUGAGCACGCGCCUUAUUGUUCGCAGUAAAAUACGAGUACAUAAUGGGUUUUAAAAGCCGCAGAUUAAAAGAAGAUAAAAAGACUGUUAUUAUUCCUAAUAUAAUAAGAACUAGUGUAACUUGAAAAUAAGAAGAAAAUGUUUGUUAUUUAUGUGUUCAUACUGUGUGAACAGCGUUCGGAGUUUGUAAAUCGGAUCUUGAUUUUAUAUCUCUAUGCAUCACGUUCGCACUUAUAAAAAGUGAUGUAAUAGGGUAUUAUACUGUAUUUAAAAUAAAUUAUGUUACACCAUGCAUGAAAUAAAGCACCAGAUUCCAAAAACAUAGAUAGGAGUUAUUUUUACACACAAGUUCUAUUUAAUAAAUUGGAUAGAAAUAUAAAAAGUAGGUGUGUUGACCGUGACGUCACGAUGUAAUGUUUCAUAUAAAUUCCAUAUUAGCAAAUCGUUUUGACACUUUAAAAAAAGUAACUGAUUUGACUACUUAGUAGGAAAAUACCCUAUUAUGUAUAUUGUCCUGCCUGUCCCGAUCUCUAUCGCACGUGCAUAUUUAUAUUGCUGCCCGGCUUGCAGUGUCAUUGACCUCCAGCAUCAUGGGCGGAAUAGCAAUAUAAUUAGAACUACGCACGUGCGAUAGAGAUAGGAACAGGCCGGUCAGUGCACGAAAUUCCUCUUGUUUAGCGUUCUUACUUUAGUAACUGAAGCUCAAAUCUAUGAAUAUGUCAAUUUCGAAUGGCGCUCUUUUGUAAAUAUUAGAUAUAAGUACACAUUAUCCUGCCGAACCUCGUUGAAAGCGUUGAAAUAGUUAUAAUUUGCCAGUGCCAUCGAAAAGGCAAAAUUGUUAAAAUAUGUUUAUAAACGCCUGUGAAGAAAUAAAUAAGAAACGAUAUACUUACAUAUGUAGUUUUUGUAAGAAUCUGAGUUAAUAUUCCGUUAUUUCUUUGAAUUUUAGCUAGUCAUAGUGUUAUGUUUAAGAUAGACGAUUAAUCAUUUCAAGCAAAAGGAUACUACUUAGGUAUUGUCGGUAUUUCAUGAUGAAUCGCCGCCAUUAAGAUUCAGUUACAAAUAUAUUUUAUUGAUCGACAAUUCGACAGUGAUAAGUACCUUUUGUCUGAAAUCGUAUUAAACUCUAAACUAAAUAAAUAAAAAAUAUUCAUAAGAGCUGGCGCCGAUGCCAAUUAAACUAGGGACAUAUCGCGAUCUACACUAAAUAGUAGGCGCGCUUUACAUUUUUCCACCUCUUAACUCAAGUCUUAAGAGGAAAGGGGACGUCCGCAUCUCUAUACAAACGUAGUCUCCAUUUUCCUCUCUGCAUACAAUUGACAUUAUGGGAUAUUUUGAUUAUUGUAAAAAUUGGGAGCGAGACAGAUUUCAUAAGUACAAAUUUUUAAAUGCCUCCUAAAAGGCGAUUUCGCGCGGGUCCUCCACAAAUGAAAUCCCGGUUUUGAAUCGGGAUUCAAAUGCUGUACAUCUUCCAUGUUAAAUACCUGAUUUUAAACAGAUUCAAACUCGGAAGUUUUAGAACCGUGUUAACUUUUUAUCAGAUUUACAAAACGAGUUUAAAGGGACAAUUAAGCUACUCCGUACUUCAUACUUACUGCACACUGCGAGAAAAGUGAUAUAUAGUGCUAUCUUUAGACUACAUUUACUCUCUAACAUAAGUAUAUCAAUGUCAAUCAAAUCGGAGUCGGACAGUUGAAUACCUUUUUAUGUAAAUAUUUAUAUCGAAAGACUUGAGCGCCCCGUCCCAAGGACAAUAUGAGAAAAGCCUUAUUAUAUUAUGAAUUAUCUCAGAUGAUUUUUUCGGGUUCGGGCCUGUUGAACAAAAGGUAUUGUUUCCUUUAUGCAGUGGUUACACUGCUUACUGCGAGUAGCCCCGACAUAAGUAACGGGAACAAGCCCGUUUAAAAAGCAAAUUUACUAUUAUAUUUAUAUGGUUCAAAAUCAUGAAACAGCCCAUUCGGAGAUAACAUAUUUUGUUAUCUCCGAAGAAAAGACCACCUUAAUUGUUCUCUGAAUGAGCUGUCACAUAAAUUAGAACCUUAAUACUAUCACGAUAGUUGCUAAAUGACAUGGUUGCUUUGGCACGAGCUGAAGACCGCUCUUAAAAGAAACAAAGGCUUAUGUUAUGUUUAACAGAUUAGGGUCCGAGCCCGAAAAAAACAUCUAAGAUAAUUCAUACUAUACCAUUACCACUAAUUUCCAUUACU